rnacentral:lncRNA from 1 species
AUUUAUGUCCUGGGAGUAAGAAAUACAACCAAGCCAGAGGAUCCUACCAGAGGAGGAAAGAUAUGGAUGAAAAUGGAUAAUGAAUGUAAACAGGCAAAGCUCAAUGCAAACAAGAAGAAGCUAGUGCAGUAGAGUUAAAACGCAAGUAAGCCUAUGGAAUCCAAAUAAAUGAGAUGGAGUUUGGGGCACAAUGAGAAGAAAGAGUCAGAGGAAUCCGUACACAUGAGGCCCACAGCAAACAUCUAGUUUAUGUUCAGUUGUGAAUGGGAAGUACAAAACUGC